rnacentral:lncRNA from 1 species
CCAGCUCUUGGCUGGAUGAGCACAUCGUAGCAGGCCCUGCAGAAAGUCACUCCACAGCGCCCAGAAUGGACCAUGGCAGCGCUGAGCACAGAAGCUGUGCAACGUGGAGAGGGAGACAGUAGAGGACCUGGCGCCUGGCAGUCUCAGGAAAGCAGAUCUCCAGGACAGCAAGCUGACCUCUGGUGCCAAGGCUGCGGUGCAAGCCAGGCUGAUCCUCAGAAAAAUGGACACACUCCUGGCCUUCCAAAGGGAUUGGAGCACCACGCGCGGCUCCUCAGGAGGGAGGAACACUUUUUGCCAAAUCCACCUGAGGAAAGAGACUCUCGGUGUACUAGAACAAGGCGAAAAUAG